ACGAGGGUGACGAGGUGGUGCAUGGUUGUCGUCAGCUCGUGUCGUGAGAUGUUGGUUAAGUCCCGCAACGAGCGCAACCCUCGACCUUAGUUGCCAGCAUUCAGUUGGGCACUCUAAGGUGACUGCCGGCUAAAAGUCGGAGGAAGGUGGGGAUGACGUCAAAUCAUCAUGCCCCUUAUGACCUGGGCUACACACGUGCUACAAUGGGCGGUACAAAGGGUCGCGAACCCGCGAGGGGGAGCCAAUCCCAAAAAAGCCGCUCUCAGUUCGGAUUGCAGGCUGCAACUCGCCUGCAUGAAGCCGGAAUCGCUAGUAAUCGCGGAUCAGCAUGCCGCGGUGAAUACGUUCCCGGGCCUU
rnacentral:rRNA from 1 species